UCUGAACUUGUAUUCAACUGUUUCAACUAGUUCCAAGAUGGAGACUCAAAGCGAGAACCAAGAUAUUGAACCAAUUAAUCUUGAUCAAGAAUUGGACCUAAGUGAAUCAAGCUUUGAUGACACUGGUAGGAAGAGAAAAAGAACCUCAGUUGUCUGGCAGCAUUUUGAGGAAAAAAGUUUUUGUGGGGAGGUGAAGGCUGUCUGUAACCAUUGUAAAGCUAGGCUAGCAUCGGGCUCCACUGUUGGCCUCUUUUGGUGACAACGAGUCGAUGAUACUUUGUGAUUGAACGUGUUCGAAACACAUAUUUCAAUUAGAUGAAAUUAUAUGAAAUAAUAGAGGGUUAACUCAGUUUUGUGAUGAAUUAGAUGAAAUUUGGUUGGUUUCGUAUGGUUGUUUUUUGUUAUCAGAAACACAGAUUUAUGAGCUGUUGCUA